UCCGGUUUAUCACCGGCAGUCUCCACAGAGUCCUCGCCAUGACGCGUUAGUAACUGUGAACAAGGGUUGCGCUCGUUGCGGGACUUAACCCAACAUCUCACGACACGAGCUGACGACAGCCAUGCAGCACCUCUACAGCGACCUCCGAAGAGGGGACCUCAUCUCUGAGGCUUUCCGCUGCAGUUCAAACCCAGGUAAGGUUCUGCGCGUUGCUUCGAAUUAAAGAACAUGCUCCGCUGCUUGUGCGGGCCCCCGUCAAUUCUUUUGAGUUUUAGCCUUGCGGCCGUACUCCCCAGGCGGAACACUUAUCGCGUUGGCUGCGGCACAGAAGGGGUCGAUUCCUCUUACAGCAAACGUGCACCGUUUACAGCUAGGACUAC
rnacentral:misc_RNA from 1 species